GUGCUCCCUUUGGUAGCACAUAUGCUAAAAUUGGAAUGAUACAGAGAAAAUUAGCAUGGCCUCUGAGCAAGAAUGCACACAAAUUCAUGAAGCAUUCCAUAUAUAA